UGUAAAAUCUACCCGUACCCUGUUUCCUUCGCAAUGAGAAGAGUCCAUUUACUUCUAUGUAACUGUGCCGGGAAUUUCCAGACUGUAAUCCAUACUUCCUCUUAUGCUACCCCUGUGAACAAUGUUCGGAUCUUUAUGCAACCGACUGUACUUUGAUCAUCAAAAUUUUUCUCCUUAAUUCCUACCUUAUUGCAUUUCCGAGAUAAAAGGUGGUACGGCUGAUAUCUUCUCAUCUAAUAGAAUAUUUAGCCACUUGAUAAAAUUCCGAUAACAUGCUGAUAUUUGAGAAUUAAAUAGAAAAGUGGCCAUUUUAGACACCUAUUAUCUGAAACUGAUUGGUGUUAACAGCGCAUCACACUGAUACCAAACGAAUUUAUCCAAUUUUAUUUGGAGAAAAAUUUAAUAUGGAUUAGAUUCAAAAAUUUUAUUUUUUGGUUAUGUUAAUCUGCGUAAACGUAAUGGGAAUUAUAUGUAAUAUGAUGAAUUUUAUUAUUUGAAAUUAUGGAAAAAAAUGAUUAUUCUAUAUCAAAAUGUUCGGUCACUUAAGAGAAAAUCAUCGGAUCUCCAGAAAGUCUUGAACAAACGUUUCGAUGUUCUUUGUUUAUCAGAAACGUGGUUGGAAACACAUUCUACCAUUCAUAACGUUUUCGAUCGGUUUGGUUACGACCUGUUUUCUGCACCGAGAGAUUAUUGUAAAGGAGGAGGAGUACUUAUUGCCAAAAAAAGGACUUAAACGCUAAACGAAACUUUUCUAAAGAAGACUAUUUCAUAUCUGUUCAAAUAGAUAAGCAUAGUUUACUGUUAGUAUGCUGCUACGCACCCAAACGAUGGUGCCCUUACAUAUUCCCUUCUCUUCGUCGCUACUUAAAAAGAGUUAGGGGAUUAUUCGAAAAUUUAAUAAUCUGUGGAGACUUUAACACUUGCCACAUCGAAUGGUUUGGAUAUCUUCCUCAAUAUUCUUACCUUAAUCAGGCAGAAAAAUAUCUUUUGUACAAAAUUUACUAUUUCUUUGAAUUUAUUCAAAAGGUCGAUUUUCCCACGCGUCAAAGCAAUUUUCUCGAUCUAGUAUUUACUAAUUGUAAACGCCUGAAUACUUCGUCUUGUACCGCCUUUGCAUCCGAUCACAUGGCAAUAUUAAUCUCUAUCGACUUUAAAACUUACAUAUGCGAUACUUACCUACCCGUUACUAAUAAAAUUAAUCGGAAAAGAGGAGAUUUGGCCAGUAUAUUCCAUUCUGUAGUUAAUUUCGAUUGGUCGUUGUUUAUCAACAAUUUUUCAGCUCAGUUAAGUACGUACAAAUUAUACACCCGUUUAAAUAUCAUUAGAAAGAAGUCACGAUUUCUUCCUUACUCCAGAAGCUUUAGGCAUAGCAAAUAUUAUGCAAGUAAGACAUAUUCCAAUAAUCACUAAACUGAUAAAAUCCGAUUACGAAUAUUGCUGAUAUAAUCGGUUGCGUGAUAAAUUUAAACUUUUAUAACGUAUUGAAAAAGAUAAUUAUUUUACCAAAUAAAUUUAAAUUUUAUCUAUUUUUCCGUUAUUUUUUAUAAAGGUACAUAACUAAAUCGAAUAUUUGAGAAGAAAAUAAUUCGUCUUAUAAGUAUUUCGUUAAAACAAAUUAAUUUUGAAACUGUGAUAUCGUAUAGAAGGUAUUAAAAAUACCACUCUCUUAGAAGCUAAAUGUGUGAAAAUACAGAUUCAUGGUAUCGCUAUAUUAAUUUAAUGUAACUAAAUUAUUUUUCCAUAGCUAUCUCAUGUUUUGAAGCUAAAUUUUUGGAACGAUAUUUGGAUUUUAGGUUUUGAAGAAAUUUUGAAAUUCCAGUUCUCAUUGCAUCAAUGAUCAUACGCUUAAAACACCAGAGCUUGCACCCAACUACAAUAUUCGUAUCUACGUAAAAAACCAGAGCGGAAGACCGAGACCAAACUACAUGGAUAAUAUCAAAAAUGAAAGGAUAUACUUCCAAAUUAAACGACUAGCCAUAAAUAGAAUGCAUUGCACAACAGAUAUUCUAUCUAACAAUUCUUCCCUGGAAGAGAAGAAGUAUUCAUGCAAAUUGUAAAAAGUUAUAAUUACAAUUUGCAUGAAUUUUUUUAUAAUUAGAUGAU
rnacentral:lncRNA from 1 species